UGGAAAGAGACCACUUAAACAACGUUGAUAUAAUUAGUGUCAUCACCUUUAUUUUGUUUUGUGUUCAAUUAUUUAAAUAACCCAGAAUUAAAGGAGGGGUACAUGAGACAUAUUGUUGAUACACACAUUUUGUUGUUAGUCAUAUUAUCAAUACAUUUUUUCCUUUUUUUUCAAACUCAAGAAAUCUCCCCCUCUUGUUUUUAAAAAAUUUAACAGUUAAAAACAAAUUCUUAAUUACAAUUACGGCCUUGUUCAAGGACCUUGUCAUCUCAGGGAUUUGAUCUAGCAACCUUUUCGGUUACUAGUCCAACGCUCUAAUCACUAGGCUCUAACCACUAGGCUACCCUGCCGCCUCUACGCUCUACCCACUAGGCUACCCUGCCACCUCUACACUCUAACCACUAGGCUACCCUGCCGCCUCUACGCUCUAACCACUAGGCUACCCUGCCGCCCCUACACUCUACCCACUAGGCUACCCUGCCGCCUCCACACUCUAACCACUAGGCUACCCUGCCGCCUCCACACUCUAACCACUAGGCUACCCUGCCGCCCCUACACUCUACCCACUAGGCUACCCUGCCGCCUCCACACUCUAACCACUAGGCUACCCUGCCGCCCCUACACUCUAACCACUGGGCUACCUGCCGCCCUCUACACUCUAACCACUGGGCUACCCUGACCCCUCUACACUCUAACCGCUAGGCUACCUGUCCCUCUACACUCUAACCGGACAUAGCCAUCC
ensembl:lncRNA